AACGAACGCUGGCGGCGUGCCUAACACAUGCAAGUCGAGCGCGAAAAGGGCAACCUGAGUAGAGCGGCGCACGGGUGCGUAACACGUGGGUAAUCUGCCUUAGAGUCGAGGAUAACCUUCCGAAAGGUUGGCUAAUACUCGGUAAGCUUACGGUGUCUACGGACGCUGUGGGAAAAGUAGGCCUCUGUUUACAAGCUUACGCUCUGAGAUGAGCCCGCGGCCCAUCAGCUAGUUGGCGGUGUAACGGACCACCAAGGCAACGACGGGUAGCUGUUCUGAGAGAACGAUCAGCCACACUGGAACUGAGACACGGUCCAGACUCAUACGGGAGGCAGCAGUGGGGAAUUUUCCACAAUGGGCAAAAGCCUGAUGGAGCAACGCCGGGUGUGUGAUGAAGGUUUUCGGAUGGUAAAGGACUUUCGACUGGGACGAAAAACCUUUGGCUAACAUCCAGGGGCCUGACGGUACCAGGAGAAGAAUCACCGGCUAACUCUGUGCCAGCAGCCGCAGUAA
rnacentral:rRNA from 1 species